GCUAAUGUAGCUUAACCACAAAGCAUGGCACUGAAGAUGCCAAGAUGUUCUAUAAAAAGUUCCAAUAGCA
rnacentral:tRNA from 1 species